UUGACUUUGAAUAUAAUUUUCGGAUAUAAUCAUCACGUGGUUAACCUUUAUAUGAAUUAAUACCAACAUCUUUGAUUAUACACGUGAUAUGCAGCUAAUUUUUAUAUAAAUUAACACUGACAUAUUAAAACAAUGAGCCUUGUGGUCAGAGCUCAUGAUUGGUUGCCAAUAAAGGUUCUGGCAAGCCUUUCUUUUCAUUUGAGGCGAGUUUAUCAAUCCAUUUUUUCCUCUUCGCGCUUUAACUUUGUUGUAUAUAUUUGAUCACUCCGAUUUGUCAUAUUCACAUGUAGUCCUGCACUAUGAAGUUGCAACACCGUCGAUUUGGCGCCGAGACGACAUUGUUGGAUGGUGACAUCAAUUCGGCGAGACGGAGAAUUUAGAGCCACAUUAUUGUUGAAACAAAAUCAAACAUGAGUGAAACAAGUUAAAAAUAUAAAAAAUAUAUGAAUGAACCCAAUUAAAAUAGAAACACUAGCAUAACAUCAAAUAGUUUGUUAUCAGUUUUAUUCAAGGAGGUGACAUGCUUUUUAUGCAGGUUCUCUUAUUUAAUAUUUGAGAAGUAAACUUUUAUCUCAUAUGCUAAGAGCAAACAGUAUUGUAUAGUCAUACGGUACGGACUAUAUUCUCUUCGGUCCAAUAAUAAUCUUGCUUAAGGAUGAAGAAUAA
rnacentral:lncRNA from 1 species